rnacentral:rRNA from 1 species
GAUGAACGCUGGCGGCGCGCCUAAUACAUGCAAGUCGAGCGAACGGACGAGAAGCUUGCUUCUCUGAUGUUAGCGGCGGACGGGUGAGUAACACGUGGAUAACCUACCUAUAAGACUGGGAUAACUUCGGGAAACCGGAGCUAAUACCGGAUGAUAUUUUGAACCGCAUGGUUCAAAAGUGAAAGACGGUCUUGCUGUCACUUAUAGAUGGAUCCGCGCUGCAUUAGCUAGUUGGUAAGGUAACGGCUUACCAAGGCAACGAUGCAUAGCCGACCUGAGAGGGUGAUCGGCCACACUGGAACUGAGACACGGUACAGACUCCUACGGGAGGCAGCAGUAGGGAAUCUUCCGCAAUGGGCGAAAGCCUGACGGAGCAACGCCGCGUGAGUGAUGAAGGUCUUCGGAUCGUAAAACUCUGUUAUUAGGGAAGAACAUAUGUGUAAGUAACUGUGCACAUCUUGACGGUACCUAAUCAGAAAGCCACGGCUAACUACGUG